CAUUUGCCAAGUAUGUUCCCGUUAAUCAAGAACGAAAGUUAGAGGUUCGAAGGCGAUCAGAUACCGCCCUAGUUCUAACCAUAAACGAUGCCAGCCAGCGAUCCGCCGAAGUUCCUCCGAUGACUCGGCGGGCAGCUUCCGGGAAACCAAAGCUUUUGGGUUCCGGGGGAAGUAUGGUUGCAAAGCUGAAACUUAAAGGAAUUGACGGAAGGGCACCACCAGGAGUGGAGCCUGCGGCUUAAUUUGACUCAACACGGGAAACCUCACCAGGCCCGGACACCGGAAGGAUUGACAGAUUGAGAGCUCUUUCUUGAUUCGGUGGGUGGUGGUGCAUGGCCGUUCUUAGUUGGUGGAGCGAUUUGUCUGGUUAAUUCCGGUAACGAACGAGACUCUAGCCUGCUAAAUAGACGAUUUCCGGUAUCCACAAUAGUGCUACCGGCGAAAUCAAUAUCUUCUUAGAGGGACAGGCGGCUUUCAGCCGCACGAAACUGAGCAAUAACAGGUCUGUGAUGCCCUUAGAUGUCCUGGGCCGCACGCGCGCUACACUGAAGGAAUCAGCGUGUCCACCCUGGCCGAAAGGCUCGGGCAACCCGUUGAACCUCCUUCGUGCUAGGGAUUGGGGCUUGCAAUUGUUCCCCAUGAACGAGGAAUUCCCAGUAAGCGCGAGUCAUAAGCUCGCGUUGAUUACGUCCCUGCCCUUUGUACACACCGCCCGUCGCUACUACCGAUUGAAUGAUUUAGUGAGGUCUUCGGACUGGUGCGCGGCGGCCGCCUGCGCGGCCACCGAUGCCACCGGGAAGAUGACCGAACUUGAUCAUUUAGAGGAAGUA
rnacentral:rRNA from 1 species